rnacentral:rRNA from 1 species
AUUGAACGCUGGCGGCAGGCCUAACACAUGCAAGUCGAACGAGUGGCGGACGGGUGAGUAAUGUCUGGGCAACUGCCCGAUGGAGGGGGAUAACUACUGGAAACGGUAGCUAAUACCGCAUACUAUCGGAUGUGCCCUGAUGGGAUUAGCUAGUAGGUGGGGUCAAGGACCACCUAGGCGACGAUCCCUAGCUGGUCUGAGAGGAUGACCAGCCACACUGGAACGGAGAAACGGUCCAGACUCCUACGGGAGGCAGCAGUGGGGAAUAUUGCACAAUGGGCGCAAGCCUGAUCCAGCCAUGCCGCGUGUAUGAAGAAGGCCUUCGGGUUGUAAAGUACUUUCAGCGAGGAGGCGUGACUCGCAGAAGAAGCACCGGCUAACUCCGUGCCAGCAGCCGCGGUAAUUCC